CUCGGGUACCUAACUUGUCUCCCUUGAACUAAAUGUCAGCUGUCAAUAUGUUUGAGAGAAACAACUCACAAUGCGUUUAAUGCAUUCAGUUGUCCUUUCAAAAUACAGAUAAAAACGCGAAAUGACAAUGAUCAAAGUUUGGUGGCGUGAGCAUUUGUAAAUCAGCAAUGGCACUUGACAGCUUUCACAGUCUUGUUCAUCUAGACUUGAAAGGAGCACCACCAAAGUUGGAGUAUUUAGAAAAGGUUUUUCCUCUACUGACAAAAUGGGGAGCCACUGGCUUGCUGGUUGAAUAUGAAGACAUGUUCCCAUACCACAGCGAGCUCAGCAGCUUGAGGUCCCAGUCUGCAUACAGCUCAAAUGAGAUUAAUACAUUAGUGAGAUUGGCAUCCCAAAAUGGAUUGAUUGUCAUACCUCUUGUGCAGUCAUUUGGCCAUUUGGAGUUUGUGUUGAAGCACACAGAAUACAAAACUUUGAGAGAAAUGGCAGACUCCCCAAUGGCAUUGUGUCCCUCAAAGCCAGGUGAAGACAAGUUUUUGACAGAUAGUUUGAGAAAUACAGAAGGACAAUCAAAUCUGUUCCAUGAAAAGUCCUUGAAGAUUGUAUGUAGCAUGAUAGACCAAGUGAUUGCUGCUCAUCCAGGAAUUCAGUGGUUCCAUAUAGGCUGUGAUGAGGUGUAUCACCUGGGAAUCUGUGAGCAGUGCAGGAAACGAAUGACAGAAGAAAGUCUGACACCCCAUGAGUUAUUCUUUCAACAUGUAAAGAAUGUAGCUUUUCAUGUCAGAAACCACCAUCAAGGUGUCAUACCAAUCAUUUGGGAUGACAUGUUCAGGUUUGCUGAAGUCUCCAUUCUUGCAGUAAGUGGCCUAGGUGAGCUGGUGGUGCCCAUGGUAUGGCACUACCUGGCUAGUUUCAAUUUGCCUCCAGACUUGUGGCAGAAACUUUCCAGCAUAUUUUCCAGUGUAUGGGUGGCAAGUGCCUUUAAAGGUGCUACAGGACCUCGAGCAUGUGCAACCAAUAUAAAUUAUCACCUUGAAAAUCACCUUAACUGGAUUGCUGCGCUGAAUGAAAUGAAGUGUCUCUUUAAGAACAUUCAUGGCAUUGCUAUCACAGGGUGGCAGAGGUAUGACCACUAUGCUGUACUUUGUGAACUUUUGCCACAUGGUCUUCCAAGUUUGGCAAUGUGCCUGCAGACCAUUCGUAAAGGAUUGACAUCAGAGGUCCAUGAGACUGUAACUGCUGACCUAGGAUUUACUUCUUUGUUGCCUCUUAAUCCAUUUGGGUGUGGAGAAAUUCCAACCUGCAGUUUUCCUGGGUCAUCUGUUUAUCAACUGAUGAUUGAAUUUGUCUACUUGGAAGCAGAGUGUCGAAAGUUCAUAUGCAAUGAUGGGUGUCUGACAUGGAUGAAUGAUUACAAUGUGAGGAGGAAUUUCACAAACCCAGUGCAUAUCAAACCUAUACUUUCUACUGCUGGCGUGUGAGUGGUGCAGCACUGUACCCACCUAGGGAAAGCAGUGUAGAUAAGUCACUAUUUGGAAACCAAAAUCAUUAAAGGUUCCAGAUACCAUAAUGCUAGCACAACUAGAAGAGUUCCAAAAGAAGCUCAGUACAGCCCUUCAAGACAUUUUCUACCCAAACACAGUAGAAGAAUGGCAAGGAACAUAUUUAGCACCUCUGAUGGCAGAUGUUCAAAAGCUAGUAGAUGCAG
rnacentral:misc_RNA from 1 species